UACGAAGGGGGGCUAGCGUUGCUCGGAAUUACUGGGCGUAAAGCGCACGUAGGCGGAUUGUUAAGUCGGGGGUGAAAUCCUGGAGCUCAACUCCAGAACUGCCUUCGAUACUGGCGAUCUUGAGUUCGGGAGAGGUGAGUGGAACUGCGAGUGUAGAGGUGAAAUUCGUAGAUAUUCGCAAGAACACCAGUGGCGAAGGCGGCCUGCUGGGCAGUUGCUGACACUGAGGCGCGACAGCGUGGGGGAGCAAACAGG
rnacentral:rRNA from 1 species